rnacentral:rRNA from 1 species
AGACGGGUGAGGAACACGUACGCAACCUCCCUUUAACUGGGGCACAACCUUGAGAAAUCAGGGCUAAUUCCCCAUAACAUUGCGAAAGGGCAUCCAAUUGCAAUUAAAGAUUCGUCGGUUAGAGAUGGGCGUGCGUUCGAUUAGCUAGUUGGUAAGGUAACGGCUUACCAAGGCAACGAUCGAUAGCUGGUGUGAGAGCACGACCAGCCACACGGGCACUGAGAUACGGGCCCGACUCCUACGGGAGGCAGCAGUAAGGAAUAUUGGUCAAUGGGCGAAAGCCUGAACCAGCCAUGCCGCGUGAAGGAUGAAGGUCCUCUGGAUUGUAAACUUCUUUUAUCUAUGAAUAAACGCCCGAUUUCUAUUGGGUUUGAAGGUAAUAGAUGAAUAAGCACCGGCUAACUCCGUGCCAGCAGCCGCGGUAAUACGGAGGGUGCAAGCGUUAUCCGGAUUCACUGGGUUUAAAGGGUGCGUAGGUUGAUAGGUAAGUCAGUGGUGAAAUACUCCGACUCAAUCGGAGAACUGCCGUUGAUACUAUCUAUCUUGAAUACGGUGGAGGCGGGCGGAAUGCGUCAUGUAGUGGUGAAAUACUUAGAUAUGACGCAGAACACCCAUUGCGAAGGCAGCUC